rnacentral:tRNA from 1 species
GCAGAGGUAGCCAAGCGGUAAGGCGCUGGCCUGCUAAGCCAGUUCUCCAUUGGAGAGCGCGGGUUCGAAUCCCGUCCUCUGCGCCA